rnacentral:rRNA from 1 species
CAGUCGCCACGGUAAUACGAAGGGGGCUAGCGUUGUUCGGAAUUACUGGGCGUAAAGCGCACGUAGGCGGACAUUUAAGUCAGGGGUGAAAUCCCGGGGCUCAACCCCGGAACUGCCUUUGAUACUGGGUGUCUAGAGUAUGGAAGAGGUGAGUGGAAUUCCGAGUGUAGAGGUGAAAUUCGUAGAUAUUCGGAGGAACACCAGUGGCGAAGGCGGCUCACUGGUCCAUUACUGACGCUGAGGUGCGAAAGCGUGGGGAGCAAACAGGAUUAGAUACCCCAGUAGUCCCUGUCUCUUAUAU